rnacentral:lncRNA from 1 species
GUUCAAGCCAUUCUGCCUCAGCCUCCAGAGCAGCUGGGAUUACAGGCCCAGCUAGUUUUUGUAUUUUUAGUAGAAACGGGUUUUCAUCAUUUUGGCCAGGCUGGUCUCGAACUCCUGACCUCAAGUGAACUGCCCGCCUUGGCCUCGCAAAGUGCUGGGAUCGUCAGAGGCAAGUGAACCAGAGCACCUUCAUCUUAAACAGGAGCUGGUGGACUCACCCUGAAUUCUUUCUUGCACGAGAUCCAAGAAUUCUCCCUUGGGAUCUGGACUGGACCCCUUUCCUGUAACAGAAUUACAGUUUUUGAGAUGGAGUUUCACUCUUCUUGCCCAGGCUGGAGUGCAAUGGUGCAAUCUCGGCUCACCGCAACCUCUGCCUCUCAGGUUCAAGCAAUUCUCCUGCCUCAGCCUCCCGACUAGCUGGGAUUACAG